ensembl:lncRNA uncharacterized LOC112986811
GUUAAUUUUUACAUGUCACAUUAUGCAGCAGGAGAGCCAAAUUUCCUUGUUUACAUGCGAGCAAGGAAACAUGUUGUUCAUUAGCAAUUAGAAGGCGCGUGCUCUUCCCUAUCGCUCACAAAAUGCACUUCCUCCGUUGUCAGGACACAGCGGUUUGGAGAGAAGCCUCAGGCACCCUUCCGUUUCCAAGAGUGACACGCUGGUCUCCAGAGGGAGGAAGGAUUAGCAUGGAUGCUAAUGGCCCAUGGUCACAUGCUGUGUCCAUACCUGCAGGUGAGCUACAAACACAGAUGUUUUACCUUCCUUUGGUUUGGGUUAUCUGUUGUCAUGAGAAAUGCUUUAACAUGCACACCUCUGAAAGCUGCCAGAUUGCAAAUGAACGUCUCCUGCUUACUUACAGGAUGCAUGCAGGAUGAGGGCGACCAGACAGUCUGUCCUCCAGCUCGCCUUCCCACUACGGUUCCAGCCCUGACUCAACGAGCAGGAGCGUCUGUGAGCUCUGAUUGAGCAAGGAGGCCUUGCCGUGCAGCUGGCGUUCUGCACGCUGCAUGUUCAAGGAAGGCAGCAGGACUGAAGCAAGAGACAGCAAACAGCUGGUUAUGCAAACCUGGGGGAGGCUCUUCCAUGUCAGAAGACCCAAUCCCAUUCUCUGCAUUCCAGUGUUAGAAAAACAGAUGGCUUUCCCGAUGCUGGGAAGUUGGGACUGGAAACCUCUCUGGAGGAUCUGAGCCACCUCACUCACAGCCUUCAUGAAAGCAGUGCCAGGCUACACAGGGCAGAACCCAGCCAAGCUCCUGCUGCCGCCCACCAGCACCCGGCCAGCACAGCAAACCCACAGCACGCCCCAGGUCCUUUCCUGCCACAGGUUCAUACCUCUGCGACCUGCACAGCACGUCCGGACCGGACCUGCACAUCCAGGAGCAGCGCAGCGUGUCGUGCUCCCCCGCCGCCAGCCGACCACAGGUCUCUGCACCGUUACCAACCCACGCAACAUCGGAGCGGCUUCGCAGUAAAUAGCGCCGGGGCCAAGGAGAAGCAAGAAAUCCAACUUCACUUCACCAGGGUUYGUUCUUUACCUCUCCUCCCRGUGCCAGGCAUUUCCUGCAGAGGACUGGCAGUUAGUUCUCAAAUAAUUUGUUCACUAAUGAAAUCAGAAAAGGGAAAAAACCUUUUAUUUUUCCUCUCUCUUGCCAUAAAACCAAGAGAAAUUAAUAAUAGGUAUUCUAAAUACAGAGACCUGUUUUUGGUCUGUUUCAUGAAAGGAUUGUUACAUGGUGAUUAUGAUUAAGAAAAGUAUUUUUCYUCUGCACAGACUGUAAUGGAUAAUUCCCAAAACAAGCCUGUUUGCAGACCCCAUUUGUUAAGCUUUUUCAAACUUGGAAGACCACCAACUCCUCAGGGUUGUCUAUUGGCAAAGGUCUGGCAUUGCAAAUGCCCUUAGUAAAUUUGUGUGCCCAUGCUUCUUGUAAAUUAUUUUUUCUCUAGUGUUAAGCUACAUACCCCAGAGGUCACUCAGCACAUUUAAAACCCCUGGCUGUGGGUGAAAUCCAGCUGUGAAUGGUUUGUGCUGGGCACAAAUAGCCCAACACUCUGGUUUUGAUGUUUCCUAUGGCAUGCACAGAUGGCUCAGCUAGAUUUUCAGAAAUGCCAGAGUUCAGAGCACAGAUCUCCUUGACUUGCAUACCUACUUUUUACACGCUCAUUUGGGUUUGAAUUCGGCACGUGGAUUAGGGCCAGGAUCCAAACCAGCCCCCUGAGCCGGGCGGCUGCGGCUGCUGCUGGCAGAGGAAGGGCCGAGGGGCCAGAUCAGGG